AGGUACGUGAAUAAAGGGGAAGGGGAUUGGUUUUUUAUUUUUUUAUUUUAUCAGAUUGGGGAUUUUGGGUUAAUUAGGGUAGAGAGGUGGUUCUCUCCUCCAUUUGAGCCGCCACCUCUCUUGGUGAUGCGGAUGCCGCUGGAUGAGGGGACGACGAAGAUGGCAGAAGGAGCGGCGUCCCUUACGGUGGUGGUCACGACUUUAUGAUAUCGAAUCCAUCUGACUGCAAGGUCGUGCGUCUCUGCCUAAAUGUAGCUUGGCCAUGGAGGUGAAGCCUCUGUGGCUUCAACGGCGGGGUGAGGAGGAUGGCUCCUUGAACCACCGUCUUUCCUUCUUCUUCUCCGGUUGACACGCCGACAUGAUUUUUUGAUGUAACGCCCUGUUUUCGCGGUGGUUAGGGGUGCUGGAACAGGUUGAUUUCUCUGUAUUCUUCUUCAUCUUCUCCGGUUGUCAUCGGCGCGGUUUCAGUGGUCUCACGGUGGUUAUAUAUUCAGGGGUCUCUUUUUUUUUCUUCCAGGUUUACUAGAUGGGAUAAUGAUGGAUAUUAUAUGAGUGUUUUAGUUGAUAAAUUAAAGAGUGAACACUAUUUCUGAGUUAACUCACUGAUUGAUAAUUCGAGAUUGCUUAUACUUAAUUAUUGGUAUGAUUGCGAUUAUGCUUUAAGGAUUAACACGAUGUUGUUUAAUUUGAUUUGCUGUUUUGUGUUUGUUCAUUACAAGGAAAGUAAGUGUUCAUGAAAUUUUAAUGUUUAUAAUUUGUAGAUAUACAUAUGUUUGUACUGUUACUGGAAUUAGUUAUGUGAAGGUUUGAUAAGGGUUUGAAGCAAAAACAUUGGUUAUAGAUUGGGGAUUCAGAGAAGAAAAAAAAAUCAGUCACUGGUUAAGAAUUGUGCACAUGUAUUUGUGUUGUUUUGGUUGUUGAUGAAGGGAGG
rnacentral:lncRNA from 1 species